rnacentral:rRNA from 1 species
GGACUACCAGGGUUUCUAAUCCUGUUUGCUCCCCACGCUUUCGCGUCUCAGCGUCAGUUGUCUUCCAGAUGGCCGCCUUCGCCACAGGUGUUCCUCCCGAUCUCUACGAAUUUCACCUCUACACCGGGAAUUCCGCCAUCCCCUCCGACACUCUAGCCUGGCAGUAUCAGACGCAGUUCCUGGGUUAAGCCCAGGGAUUUCACGUCUGACUUACCAAACCGCCUACACGCGCUUUACGCCCAGUAAUUCCGAACAACGCUUGCACCCUCUGUAUUACCGCGGCUGCUGGCAC